GGGAAUGUGACUCAGUGGUAGAGUGCUUGCCUUGCAUGCAUGAAGCCCUGGGUGUGAUUCCUCAGUACCA
rnacentral:tRNA from 1 species